CUUUGUGGAAGAGCUGUAUUGUCAUUCAAUAUUAUCUUGGUUCUUCAGAUGGAAAGAUCGUGAUUUGCUAUCUUUGCAGUUGUGACCAGAGAGAUUGAUGUUGGGGCUUGGUCUCAAGGUGAAGUAUUUUUAUUAUGAAAGUAACAUGUGCUCAUCAUCAGUAAUUAACCCAGAACUGGAAGAAUUUCCCAAUCCCAGCUCCUACUAAGUAUGAGUAUGUGGUAAGUAUUUUUUCAGUUAUUCUCUAGGCAUUUAAACUAAAGCAAGAUAAAAGGUGAAAUAUAAAAUAAAAAUUACACAAAACAUACUUUAAAUACACAAAUAGAAAGCUACCUCAGGCACUAUUCUGUCAGUGACUUUGUAAAUUUAAUAAUCAUUGUGGUCAUUUCCUGUGUCAGUGUACUUAUUUGCCCAUCAUUCUUUUUAAUAUUUAUAGAAUACUUUUAAUAGUUAGAAUACCCUGGGUGCAAGUUACAAUAACUCAAUUCACACUACCUCAGGCAAAGAAGAGAAUUUGCUGUUUAAAAUGAGCUGGAGAAAAAGAGAUUGGGCUGGCUUUGGGAAGGAAUGAGUCCAGGAACCCAGUGUAUCAUGGAGGUGACCUCUCUUUGCAUUUCUUAUCGCUGGUGAUAUGUUUGGCCACCUUCUUCCCUAGAGCAAAGCCAAGUUAUUCCAUGUAAUAAAAGUUAUUUCAUGAGAACCUGUUCCUGCUGAUCCCUUCUUUUUUGCAUGAUCCCAAAUUUACCAACCUCCUGGUUGGGUAAUCCUGAACUAAUUACUUCCCCU
rnacentral:lncRNA from 1 species